GUCCACGCCUUAAACUAUGGAUACUAAGUGUCGGCGGUUUACCGCCGGUGCCGCAGCUAACGCAAUAAGUAUCCCGCCUGGGAAGUACGGCCGCAAGGUUGAAACUCAAAGGAAUUGACGGGGCCCGCACAAGCGGUGGAGCAUGUGGUUUAAUUCGACGCAACGCGAAGAACCUUACCCAGGCUGGACAUGCAGGUAGUAGAAGGGUGAAAGCCCAACGAGGUAGAAAUACCAUCCUGCUCAGGUGCUGCAUGGCUGUCGU
rnacentral:rRNA from 1 species